rnacentral:sRNA from 1 species
UGUGCUCCGGGUGAGGGCCUCUGGGUCACCUCCCACCCGUGUCUAUCGUACCUUGUUGCUUCGGCGGGCCCGCCGUUUCGACGGCCGCCGGGGAGGCCUUGCGCCCCCGGGCCCGCGCCCGCCGAAGACCCCAACAUGAACGCUGUUCUGAAAGUAUGCAGUCUGAGUUGAUUAUCGUAAUCAGUUAAACUUUCAACAACGGAUCUCUUGGUUCCGGCAUCGAUGAAGAACGCAGCGAAAUGCGAUAAGUAAUGUGAAUUGCAGAAUUCAGUGAAUCAUCGAGUCUUUGAACGCACAUUGCGCCCUGGUAUUCCGGCGCGCAUGCCUGUCCGAGCGUCAUUGCUGCCCUCAAGCACGGCUUGUGUGUUGGGCGCCGGGGGACGGGCCCGAAAGGCAGCGGCGGCACCGCGUCCGGUCCUCGAGCGUAUGGGGCUUUGUCACCUGCUCUGUAGGCCCGGCCGGCGCCAGCCGACACCCAACUUUAUUCUAAGGUUGACCUCGGAUCAGGUAGGGAUACCCGCUGAACUUAAGCAUAUCAGCCGGAGGAAAUCCGAAGGAUUAUAACAAUAGAAAUAAA